GAUUAACGCUGGCGGCGUGCAUAACACAUUCAAGUCGAACGGAGUAUAGAAAUAUACUUAGUGGCGGACGGGUGAGUAACGCGUGAGUAAUCUACCUUCGGGUGAGGGAUAACAACCGGAAACAGUUGCUAAUACCUCAUGACAUAUAUCUUUCGCAUGGGAGAUAUAUCAAAGGCUUGCUGCCCGAAGAUGAACUCGCGUCCGAUUAGAUAGUUGGCGGGGUAAUGGCCCACCAAGUCGACGAUCGGUAGCCGGACUGAGAGGUUGAACGGCCACAUUGGAACUGAGAUACGGUCCAGACUCCUACGGGAGGCAGCAGUGGGGAAUAUUGGGCAAUGGGCGAAAGCCUGACCCAGCGACGCCGCGUGAGGGAAGAAGAUCUUCGGAUUGUAAACCUUAGUCAACAGGGAAGAAGAAAGUGACGGUACCUGUGGAGGAAGCCACGGCUAACUACGUG
rnacentral:rRNA from 1 species